UACGAAGGGGGCUAGCGUUGUUCGGAAUUACUGGGCGUAAAGGGCGCGUAGGCGGUCCUGAUCGUCGGAUGUGAAAGGCCUGGGCUCAACCUGGGAACUGCAUCCGAUACGGCGGGACUGGAGUGUGGGAGAGGUUGGUGGAAUUCCCAGUGUAGAGGUGAAAUUCGUAGAUAUUGGGAAGAACACCGGUGGCGAAGGCGGGUCUCUGGGCAGUAACUGACGCUGAGGAGCGAAAGCGUGGGGAGCGAACAGG
rnacentral:rRNA from 1 species